rnacentral:rRNA from 1 species
GAUGAACGCUAGCGGCAGGCCUAACACAUGCAAGUCGAGGGAGAGGUUACCUUCGGGUACCCAAAACCGGCGCACGGGUGCGUAACGCGUAUACAAUCUGCCUUUCACAUAGGGAUAGCCCGAAGAAAUUUGGAUUAAUACCUAAUGGUAUAUAAGAGCGGCAUCGUUUUUAUAUUAAAGCUACGGUGGUGAAAGAUGAGUAUGCGUUCUAUUAGCUAGUUGGAGAGGUAACGGCUCCCCAAGGCGACGAUAGAUAGGGGUUCUGAGAGGGAUGUCCCCCACACUGGUACUGAGAUACGGACCAGACUCCUACGGGAGGCAGCAGUGAGGAAUAUUGGACAAUGGUCGGAAGACUGAUCCAGCCAUGCCGCGUGCAGGAGGAAGGUCCUAUGGAUUGUAAACUGCUUUUGGAAGGGAAGAAUAAGGAGUACGUGUACUUUGAUGACGGUACCUGACGAAUAAGCAUCGGCUAACUCCGUG